rnacentral:lncRNA from 1 species
GGAGGAGUCAUCGCAAGAGCGUGGCCUUGGCGCGGGCGCAGCGCGACGCGAGGGCAAGGCCUCGGCAGUUAGCACGGGUGGGCGCAGGCCGAAGGCCGUCGCACGCGCUUGGAGGCGUCUUGGCCUCUUCCUAGCGCUUGUGUGCGGGGAUCAUGGUUUGAAGUGUUGGUAAGUGCUAUCAAUUUGCAAGAAGGGAAAUCGGAAAAGAACACCUCACAAUAUGCGAUUUGCUGAGUUCUUUAUCUUCUUGACUCAACACUUGAUGUAGCGUGCCGCUGGUUUCUGAUCUCAAUUCCGUCGAAGUCAGACGUUGUGAGGCAUCGGGGCCGAGGGCCGUGGCCGGCGAACGCCGCUGCGCGUACCUGGGCGUCCCCUCACUAUGAAGGGCCUAGCCAAGGGCUUGGUCGUGUACGCAGUUGCCGGUUUUCUUCACGCCGUUAUGCCCGUGCGCCGUCGAUGAUGCCUGGAACAAUUCGCUCCGCUGAGAGCGUGCUGAUAACGUGUUAGAAGGUAAAAAUGUAAAAAAAGACAGACAUGUAAAAGUGAAUCAGUUAAUCUUUAUUGAUGAUGGAUACAUCUAUAUAUAGAGUUACAAAAGACACGAAGUGAAAAGGUGUCUGUUCAAGAAGGCACCAGGAACCGACGUCGGUUUUCAUAUGGAAACUGCCAUCUAUUCCUUAAGCAUGGAUUAAUAGGAUUAGUUAAAUCCUAACAUAAUCUUCUUCAACUCUGCCUCCACACGAGCGAUGCAACGAACUGUGGCAGGUACGUCUUGUCACGUCCUCUAUCCUUGCCUGUUCUUCUAAUCACAAUUCCUGAAUUCUCGAUAGAUCGAACGGCUAAACAGGGAGUUGAUGCAAAGGUAUUCAAUUCAUUGCGCACACAUAGCAGAUUUUUUUUCAUGAUAUUAGAUGAAGAUAUUAUGUAAUUAAUAUAAUAUUUUAAUUAGCUUUGUGCUAAUUUUAAAAGCUAAUUGUUCCUUUCAAUUGCAGCACGGUCAUGUCAGGUUUGGGUAGAAAGUGUAUCCAUCC